rnacentral:rRNA from 1 species
CAGUCGCCGCGGUAAUACGUAGGUGGCAAGCGUUAAUCGGAAUUACUGGGCGCAAAGCGUGCGCAGGCGGUUUGUUAAGACAGAUGUGAAAUCCCCGGGCUCAACCUGGGAACUGCAUUUGUGACUGGCAAGCUAGAGUGUGGCAGAGGGGGGUGGAAUUCCGCGUGUAGCAGUGAAAUGCGUAGAUAUGCGGAGGAACACCGAUGGCGAAGGCAGCCCCCUGGGCCAACACUGACGCUCAUGCACGAAAGCGUGGGGAGCAAACAGGAUUAGAUACCCGUGUAGUCCCUGUCUCUUAUAA